AUUGAACGCUGGCGGCAGGCCUAACACAUGCAAGUCGAGCGGAUGAAGGGAGCUUGCUCCUGGAUUCAGCGGCGGACGGGUGAGUAAUGCCUAGGAAUCUGCCUGGUAGUGGGGGAUAACGUCCGGAAACGGGCGCUAAUAACGCAUACGUCCUGCGGGAGAAAGUGGGGGAUCUUCGGACCUCACGCUAUCAGAUGAGCCUAGGUCGGAUUAGCUAGUUGGUGGGGUAAAGGCCUACCAAGGCGACGAUCCGUAACUGGUCUGAGAGGAUGAUCAGUCACACUGGAACUGAGACACGGUCCAGACUCCUACGGGAGGCAGCAGUGGGGAAUAUUGGACAAUGGGCGAAAGCCUGAUCCAGCCAUGCCGCGUGUGUGAAGAAGGUCUUCGGAUUGUAAAGCACUUUAAGUUGGGAGGAAGGGCAGUAAGUUAAUACCUUGCUGUUUUGACGUUACCAACAGAAUAAGCACCGGCUAACUUCGUG
rnacentral:rRNA from 1 species